GACCUUUUAAACCUAUUUUUAUAAACUUUAGGACUAAAAAUGUAUAUUUUGAAAACUUGGGGACUAAAUAGACCUAUUUUUAUAAACUUGAGGAUUAAAAAGAUACAUUUUUAAAACUUAAGAAAAAUCAAAUAUUCUUCCAAACUUGGAGACUAAAAAGGUAAUUUUUCCAAGAAAUAAUCAACCAAAGUGGGUGAACCAAUGCAGUCAAACCAAACCACUGAACCAAAGUAAGCCAGGCCGAAGUGAAUCGAAUGACUAAACCGGACCGGGCUGAAUGAACUCAAACAACUAAACCGGACCGGUCCAAACCUGCUGUAGAAAAUGUUUAGGUCACUUCACAACGAGCCACGAGGAGGCAGUUCUUAGAUCUGUCGUGAACAAGGGGCAGAUCUGAGAGGAUGAACGAGAACUGAUCGGAUCUGAGAGGAUGAGAUCUGAACGAGAUAGUAAUAAAACUUUCAGAUUUGGCGAGAUUCGAGCGAUAAUACAGUUGGAUUUCAAGGAGAUAUGUUCUGAGCUGUUGAGAUAUGAACGAAAUUAGUCGGAUCUGAGCGGCAGUGAGAUCGAAGUGGCAGUGAGAUCUGAACGGAUCGAACUUGUGCGCGAGGUUUGUGCGAAGUUGUGGAACGAGGGACUGCUGCGAGAUCAGAUAUGACCGUACGGAGCUUGGUGACCUGUGCGAAUGGAGCAGGAGUGACAGAGCUGCGAAAGCAAACCUGUGCGUGAGGUCGACGGCGGUGCAGAUCUGCGCACGGCGUCGACGGAGAUUAAAAAUCAGUGCGAGGGUCUGUGCAAGGGCAGAUAUGUGAACGGCGGAGGAGCUGGUCGACGGCGACGUGGUUGACGGCGGUAUUCUAAUAUUGUGCCCCCUACCGGCCUUCAAUAGAAACUCACUGAAACUAUAUGCUCCUGUCACUGAUCGCGCUGUGGAAGUAACUGAAAAUGUGCUCUUGACGAAACCGAAUUGUAAAGUCAUUGUUGGAGGAUUCACUUCUAUGGCAACAGCAGGGUUCAUCCUUGCAGUGAUUGUAUAGGUUUCUUCCUCAGCAACAUUUGUUACUGAGCGAGAAACAGUCAUGGCGACGGUUAAGUUGCAAGGUUAGUUUGUAGGGUUGUGUAACUUGUAAACGUUGAUGCCC